rnacentral:tRNA from 1 species
GCUAGGCUGGCUCAGCAAGUAGAGCAUGUGACUCUAAAUCUCAAGGUCAUGAGUUCAAGUCCCAUGUUGGGCA